CUUAUAUAUAAAAAGAUAUACAUACAUUUGUGGGUGGACUUGUAGGUCUAAAAUAUCACUAUGUUAUUGAAAAUUCAUCUUAUUUACCUAUCAGUUCGAAUCUUCUGCACUUUUAUUUUGAGGAAUCAUAGGGUGGCUUGGGUUGGAAGGGACUUGAAGGAUCAUCAAGCUCCAAUCCCCCACCACAGGGAGAGCCACCAACCUCCACAUUUGAUAGGAAUCAUUUCUUAGCCAUGUAAUCUGGUGUGGAAGACUUUGGAAUGCUGGCAAGAUGUUGGUGCUGGUCUGGGAAUAGCUGUGCUAUCUUUGUGACAAAGAGGAUACACUUUCUCAGCAGGCUGAACAACCCCAGCUCAUACACAGGAGAUGCUCCAGACCCCUCAUCAUCUUUGUGGCCCUCCACUGGACUAUCUCCAGCAGUUUCCUCUCUUGAUCUGUGUCACCCAUAACUGGACACAGUACUCCAGAUGUAGCCUCCCCAGGGCAGAGAAGAUGGGGAGGAUCGCCUCCAUGCUCUACUGGCCAUGCUCUCCCCAGUGCACCCCGGGAUACCAUUGGUCUUCUUGGCCACCAGGGCACCCUGCUGGCUCAUGGACAACCUUUUGACCACAGGGACAUCCAAGUCCUUCUCUGGAGAGCUCCUCUCCAGCAGGGAAUACCCAGGGAAAAAGAAGAUCGUAGAGUUUUAAAGAUGUUUCAACUUUUAGUAAUUAAGCUCUGGUGAACGUUGCAAGAAUAUUUAAUGUUGUGCUGAUCUAUCUGAGGAGGAUCUGGAGACUUACAAGGAAUUACAAGAACAUGACUUACAAAACAGAAAGCUCACAUUGUCAAAGCAUCCUCUGAAAUGCUUUCAGAUUGAGAAGGUUUUUUUUCUGGCAUUUCAUUAGGAAUAGGCAGCAGGGAGAGUCUCCUGACAUUAAGGCAUUUUUGUUUUGUUUUGUUUUGUUCUUCACUCCCAUAGUUAAGAGUAACUUGUUGGCUUUUUUCCACCUCAUGCUCACUCUCGCAGAUGAGCAUUAGAGAGAAUUUGGAAAUGGAAGGCCUUUCUGUCUGCUGCUAGCAGGGUCAAUUCAGUGUGGCAGCUGCGAGCUGGUGACAUAGACUUAUAUUGACACAACCCACUUUUUGCUGCAGAAUCACAAAGCGAAAGCACCCGGGGCUCUUCUGCCUUUUUCAAUAAGAUACGAAUUUUUGUCUUCCUUGUAUUAAGCAGAGAUCUGUCAUCUU
ensembl:lncRNA